CAUGGUGUUUUAUGGAGCAGUUUUCAGUCUUGUUACUUUCUUUCCAUCGGAACUGUUUUGGCUUCUUCCCCGUGUCGGUUUUGCACAGGACCACAACUGUGUUACAACACCAUACUGCAAAUGUGGUGCCAUUAUAGUGUAGUCUGUGUUGUAAUGGGGGAAGCAGGACAUAGUGUUUUUAAUUCUUGUGGUCUUAGAUGCCACUAUAGUCAUUUUUAAUGACUUUUCAGGGAUGAUGAACUAUUUCCUCCUUUCAUAUUUAUUCCGGUGAAAAUGGCUUCCCGUUUAAGUAAGCAUUUUUGAUGUGUGAUUGUAUUAUUACUCUGUGCAAUAAAUAACAUUUAUUGUCCACACUGUUACAGCUCUUGUUAGUUUAAAUAUGCAGGAGGUAAAACUAUACACAUACAUCUAACCAGAGCAUUGUUUGAUGGUUGCUAUUAUUUUAUUUCUUUCAGAAGCUUAUUAAGAAAAGUUUAUGCAAAGAGAAGAAAUGGCCUUUUUAUUCUUCAAAGAAUGCUGGUUGUGGUUUAUGUAAAAGAGCCUGAAUUUUCUGCAUCAAUGGAAGCACUAAAUCAAAAUGACCAAUAUACAAGUGCAAUUUAGUAGGAAGGAAGGAAGGAAGGAAGGAAGGAAGGAAGGAAGGAAGGAAGGAAGAGAUACACCCAGCCCAUCUCCUACAAAAUUGUUUCCAUCUUGCUUCAAAUGUGGACUUUGCAAAGAAGAGAGGAGCUUUGGUCUUUAGAGGGUCUGCCUAGAACCCAGAACCCUGGGUUAGCUGGAGAGUUUCCACAGAUAAAGGUGGCUGUCCUCUUCAGAACACUGCUGUCCAUUUGAAGAGAGAGAGACUGAAGUGAUGAUGGAAGGGGCUAGCACACAUGUGCUCAUGUGUUUAUUUUCUCUGUAGUCACAUUUCAGUACAGUCGUGUCCCGCUUUACAAUUACCCCG
rnacentral:lncRNA from 1 species